rnacentral:miRNA from 1 species
CACCUCAUUGAUUGGAAGGAAUUCCUUCCAAUCGAUGAGGUGUACCAGCUUCAUCAACUGGAAGGAAUCCCUUCCAGUCAAUGAGGUU